UCCUCCCUCUGGCGGCGUGCUUAACACAUGCAAGUCGAACGGAAAGGCCCUGCUUUUGUGGGGUGCUCGAGUGGCGAACGGGUGAGUAACACGUGAGUAACCUGCCCUUGACUUUGGGAUACUUCAGGAAACUGGGGCUAAUACCGGAUAGGAGCUCCUGCUGCAUGGUGGGGGUUGGAAAGUUUCGGCGGUUGGGGAUGGACUCGCGGCUUAUCAGCUUGUUGGUGGGGUAGUGGCUUACCAAGGCUUUGACGGGUAGCCGGCCUGAGAGGGUGACCGGCCACAUUGGGACUGAGAUACGGCCCAGACUCCUACGGGAGGCAGCAGUGGGGAAUAUUGCACAAUGGGCGGAAGCCUGAUGCAGCAACGCCGCGUGCGGGAUGACGGCCUUCGGGUUGUAAACCGCUUUCGCCUGUGACGAAGCGUGAGUGACGGUAAUGGGUAAAGAAGCACCGGCUAACUACGUG
rnacentral:rRNA from 1 species